rnacentral:tRNA from 1 species
GUCAACUUAGUAUAGAGAAGUGAGUACGUGAGAUUGUAAAUUUCAAGGCGGUGUUUAUCAGUUGAAA